CCUACGGGUGGCAGCAGUGAGGAAUAUUGGUCAAUGGGCGAAAGCCUGAACCAGCCAAGUCGCGUGAGUGAUGACGGUCCUACGGAUUGUAAACCUCUUUUGUCAGGGAGCAAGGAGCGCCACGAGUGGUGCGACGAGGGUACCUGAAGAAACAGCAUCGGCUAACUCCGUGCCAGCAGCCGCGGUAAUACGGAGGAUGCGAGCGUUAUCCGGAUUUAUUGGGUUUAACGGGGACGCAGGCGGAAGCGGCAAGUCAGCGGUAAAAUUGCGGGGCUCAACCUCGCCGAGCCGUUGAAACUGCUCUGCUAGAGUGGGCGAGAAGGAUGCGGAAUGCGUGGUGUAGCGGUGAAAUGCAUAGAGAUAAAGCAGAACUCCGAUUGCGAAGGCAGCAUACCGGCGCCCAACUGACGCUCAUGCACGAAAGCGUGGGGAUCGAACAGGAUUAGAUACCCCAGUAGUC
rnacentral:rRNA from 1 species